GCCUGGCCGGCGACAAGGAGACGCGGGCCGGACCCCUGCCGCCGCCCGCGCCGCCGCUGCCGCCCCCGGGCGCGCUGGACGCCCUGUCGCUCAGCAGCAGCCUGGACAGCGGACUCCGAACCCCUCAGUGCCGGAUCUGCUUCCAGGGCCCGGAGCAGGGGGAGCUCUUGAGCCCCUGCCGCUGCGACGGCUCAGUGCGCUGCACGCAUCAGCCCUGCCUCAUCCGCUGGAUCAGCGAGAGGGGCUCCUGGAGCUGUGAGCUCUGCUACUUCAAGUACCAGGUCCUGGCGAUUAGCACCAAGAACCCACUGCAGGUGAGGUGCAAGGAGAGGACUCGGAGAUUGGGCGAGGACCUUUUAGCUAUUGGAAUCAGGGACCCUCCAGGAGGCCUAUUUCAUUUAUUAUUUUCCCAAAGCCACCCUUCCCCGCCAAUUACCACAGUCUCCUGUGUGUCUGUAUAUCCUUCCUAAGCCCUUAAUUUAUUCACAGAGAUAUUUAUUGGGUGCCACUUAUAUUCCAGGCACUCUUCUAGGCACUGGGACAAUCACCACUCCUCACCCGCCACAAAAAAAAAAAAAAAAAAGAAAAGAAAAAAAAAUGCUGGGCGCGGUGGCUCACGCCUGUAAUCCCAGCACUUUGGGAGGCCGAGGCGGGCGGAUCACAAGGUCAAGAGUUUGAGACCAGCCUGGCCAACAUGGUGAAACCCCGUCUCUACUAAGAAUACAAAAAUUAGCCGGGCGUGGUGGCACGUGCCUGUAAGCUACUCGCGAGGCUGAGGCAGGAGAAUCCUUGAACCCGGGAGGCAGAGGUUGCAGUGAGCCGAGAUC
rnacentral:sRNA from 1 species